rnacentral:misc_RNA from 1 species
AAAGAAGAAAAAUUCCAAACAAAGAAAGAUUUCAAAUUCUUAAGAUAUUUACACCACUUUUCCAAGAUCUCAUAGGUAAUUAACAGAUAGGGGAAAAAAAGUUAAUACCACACAAAUAAGAAUAUACUUUUAGUGUGCUGCUUUUAUUUUGUGAUUGUAAUUUUUAGACAAUUUAACUAAACAAUUGGCUAAAUACAUAUCCUUAGACAUCAAAUGGUUGUGUUCCAAAAGAAGUUUUGAGAAAAAA